GUCCAGGGAUGGGAAUCAAACCCACAGUGUUCUGCAUACCGGGCAGAUGCCAUGUCCACUAGGCUACCCUGGA
rnacentral:tRNA from 1 species